CCUACGGGUGACAGCAGUGAGGAAUAUUGGUCAAUGGACGAGAGUCUGAACCAGCCAAGUAGCGUGAAGGAUGACUGCCCUAUGGGUUGUAAACUUCUUUUAUAAAGGAAUAAAACGAGGCACGUGUGCCUUUUUGCAUGUACUUUAUGAAUAAGGAUCGGCUAACUCCGUGCCAGCAGCUGCGGUAAUACGGAGGAUCCGAGCGUUAUCCGGAUCUAUUGGGUUUAAAGGGAGCGUAGAUGGGUUGUUAAGUCAGUUGUGAAAGUUUGCGGCUCAACCGUAAAAUUGCAAUUGAUACUGGCAGUCGUGAGUACAGUUGAGGUAGGCGGAAUUCGUGGUGUAGCGGUGAAAUGCUUAGAUAUCACGAAGAACCCCGAUUGCGAAGGCAGCUUACUAAACUGUGACUGACAUUGAUGCUCGAAAGUGUGGGUAUCAAACAGGAUUAGAUACCCUGGUAGUC
rnacentral:rRNA from 1 species